GAUGCUGACUGACCUGAAUACUUGCAACAAUUUCUGUUUUCAACAGCUGCAUCACUAACACUUUUAGACAAUUGUAUGCACACGUCAGGCACGUGUAUGGGGGAAAUCAUCACCAAAAAUAUUCCAGGGGCCCAGAAAUAUCAUUUGGUUGUCUUUCUACAGUUGCUGGCUGAUCUGCUGAGUGUUUUCAGCAUUUUCUGUCUUCACUUCAAACUUCCAGAUAAUUGAAAAUUGCAAAUAAGCACUGUCUGAGAAAAUGGACAACAUCGGGCUUCGUGCAAUUCAAGGGCUUAUCACCCGAGGAGGUCCACGAGGACAUUAUUGCAACACUAGGGGAGGGUGAAAAAUAAAUGUGCUAGUUUUUCUAAAACUGACUCCUUCUACCCUGGGCCAUGAACAUCAAUCACCCCUCAUAUAUAUGUACAGUCAGAUGCUGAUAAACCAGGGCUCUAUUUGACUCAAGUGUGUGUUCUUUCAAUAUCACUUAUUAGGUUUAGAGUACUAGUUGACCCUUCUGUUGCUGAAAUAAAA